AUACUUACCUGGCCGGGGUCAAUGGGUGAUCAAUAAGACCCAUGGCCUAGGUUGGUGACUUUUAUUGCACUUUGGAGAGGUGCCCGCUUAUGGUCGAUCCAAGUGGUCGAGCCUACGUCAUAAUUUGUUACAGCGGAGGCCUGCGUUCGCGCGGCCCCUAC
rnacentral:snRNA from 1 species